rnacentral:rRNA from 1 species
AGAGUUUGAUCAUGGCUCAGAUUGAACGCUGGCGGCAGGCCUAACACAUGCAAGUCGAACGGUAACAGGAAGAAGCUUGCUUCUUUGCUGACGAGUGGCGGACGGGUGAGUAAUGUCUGGGAAACUGCCUGAUGGAGGGGGAUAACUACUGGAAACGGUAGCUAAUACCGCAUAACGUCGCAAGACCAAAGAGGGGGACCUUCGGGCCUCUUGCCAUCGGAUGUGCCCAGAUGGGAUUAGCUUGUUGGUGGGGUAACGGCUCACCAAGGCGACGAUCCCUAGCUGGUCUGAGAGGAUGACCAGCCACACUGGAACUGAGACACGGUCCAGACUCCUACGGGAGGCAGCAGUGGGGAAUAUUGCACAAUGGGCGCAAGCCUGAUGCAGCCAUGCCGCGUGUAUGAAGAAGGCCUUCGGGUUGUAAAGUACUUUCAGCGGGGAGGAAGGGAGUAAAGUUAAUACCUUUGCUCAUUGACGUUACCCGCAGAAGAAGCACCGGCUAACUCCGUGCCAGCAGCCGCGGUAAUACGGAGGGUGCAAGCGUUAAUCGGAAUUACUGGGCGUAAAGCGCACGCAGGCGGUUUGUUAAGUCAGAUGUGAAAUCCCCGGGCUCAACCUGGGAACUGCAUCUGAUACUGGCAAGCUUGAGUCUCGUAGAGGGGGGUAGAAUUCCAGGUGUAGCGGUGAAAUGCGUAGAGAUCUGGAGGAAUACCGGUGGCGAAGGCGGCCCCCUGGACGAAGACUGACGCUCAGGUGCGAAAGCGUGGGGAGCAAACAGGAUUAGAUACCCUGGUAGUCCACGCCGUAAACGAUGUCGACUUGGAGGUUGUGCCCUUGAGGCGUGGCUUCCGGAGCUAACGCGUUAAGUCGACCGCCUGGGGAGUACGGCCGCAAGGUUAAAACUCAAAUGAAUUGACGGGGGCCCGCACAAGCGGUGGAGCAUGUGGUUUAAUUCGAUGCAACGCGAAGAACCUUACCUGGUCUUGACAUCCACGGAAGUUUUCAGAGAUGAGAAUGUGCCUUCGGGAACCGUGAGACAGGUGCUGCAUGGCUGUCGUCAGCUCGUGUUGUGAAAUGUUGGGUUAAGUCCCGCAACGAGCGCAACCCUUAUCCUUUGUUGCCAGCGGUCCGGCCGGGAACUCAAAGGAGACUGCCAGUGAUAAACUGGAGGAAGGUGGGGAUGACGUCAAGUCAUCAUGGCCCUUACGACCAGGGCUACACACGUGCUACAAUGGCGCAUACAAAGAGAAGCGACCUCGCGAGAGCAAGCGGACCUCAUAAAGUGCGUCGUAGUCCGGAUUGGAGUCUGCAACUCGACUCCAUGAAGUCGGAAUCGCUAGUAAUCGUGGAUCAGAAUGCCACGGUGAAUACGUUCCCGGGCCUUGUACACACCGCCCGUCACACCAUGGGAGUGGGUUGCAAAAGAAGUAGGUAGCUUAACCUUCGGGAGGGCGCUUACCACUUUGUGAUUCAUGACUGGGGUGAAGUCGUAACAAGGUAACCGUAGGGGAACCUGCGG